ensembl:piRNA 21ur-6752 ncRNA
UCUCGGCGACGAUUUUUAACU